CUGAGGUAGUCCUAUCUAUAUACAUACUCUCUCUCUCUCUCUCUCUCUCUGUCUCUCUCUCUCUCUCACACACACACACACACACACAGAGAGAGAGAGAGAGAGAGAGAGAGAGAGAGAUUCGUGCAUGUG